UCUCUCAGUUCGGACUGGAGUCUGCAACCCGACUCCACGAAGCUGGAUUCGCUAGUAAUCGCGCAUCAGCCACGGCGCGGUGAAUACGUUCCCGGGCCUUGUACACACCGCCCGUCAAGCCAUGGGAGCCGGGGGUACCUGAAGUGCGUAACCGCGAGGAGCGCCCUAGGGUAAAACUGGUGACUGGGGCUAAGUCGUAACAAGGUAUC
rnacentral:rRNA from 1 species